GACGAACGCUGGCGGCGUGCUUAACACAUGCAAGUCGAACGGAAAGGCCCUGCUUUUGUGGGGUGCUCGAGUGGCGAACGGGUGAGUAACACGUGAGUAACCUGCCCUUGACUUUGGGAUAACUUCAGGAAACUGGGGCUAAUACCGGAUAGGAGCUCCUGCUGCAUGGUGGGGGUUGGAAAGUUUCGGCGGUUGGGGAUGGACUCGCGGCUUAUCAGCUUGUUGGUGGGGUAGUGGCUUACCAAGGCUUUGACGGGUAGCCGGCCUGAGAGGGUGACCGGCCCAUUGGGACUGAGAUACGGCCCAGACUCCUACGGGAGGCAGCAGUGGGGAAUAUUGCACAAUGGGCGGAAGCCUGAUGCAGCAACGCCGCGUGCGGGAUGACGGCCUUCGGGUUGUAAACCGCUUUCGCCUGUGACGAAGCGUGAGUGACGGUAAUGGGUAAAGAAGCACCGGCUAACUACGUG
rnacentral:rRNA from 1 species